rnacentral:tRNA from 1 species
AUAAAGGGUAGGGUUAAAGAAACCGCUGAAAUUGUGGGUUUCAGAACGUUUAUUAAACCCUUUUUC